rnacentral:rRNA from 1 species
UACGUAGGUGGCAAGCGUUGUCCGGAAUUAUUGGGCGUAAAGAGCGCGCAGGCGGUCGUCCAAGUCGCGUGUGAAAGCCCCCGGCUCAACUGGGGAGGGUCACGCGAUACUGGUCGACUCGAAGGCAGGAGAGGGUAGUGGAAUUCCCGGUGUAGUGGUGAAAUGCGUAGAUAUCGGGAGGAACACCAGUGGCGAAGGCGACUACCUGGCCUGUUCUUGACGCUAAGGCGCGAAAGCUAGGGGAGCAACGGG